UACGGGGGGGGCAAGCGUUGUUCGGAAUUACUGGGCGUAAAGGGCUUGUAGGUGGCCAACUAAGUCAGACGUGAAAUCCCUCAGUUUAACUGGGGAACUGCUUCUGAUACUGGAUGGCUUGAGUUUGGGAGAGGGAUGCGGAAUUCCAGGUGUAGCGGUGAAAUGCGUAGAUAUCUGGAGGAACACCGGUGGCGAAGGCGGCAUCCUGGACCAACACUGACACUGAAAAGCGAAAGCCAGGGGAGCAAACGGG
rnacentral:rRNA from 1 species